rnacentral:tRNA from 1 species
AUAGUAUAGCACCUCCCUUACACCGAGAAGGUACCCGUGCAAAUCGGGUCGCACUGACUCUGCCUCUUAACAGCUAG